CCCUACGGGGCGCAGCAGGCCUGGGAGAAGGUUCGAUCUCUCAUGGCCACUCAGGUUCGGAUAACGGUAUCCCUGACCAAUGACAAGGGGGAGCGCAUUCAUAUCCGGCAAACAACCGAACCCGAGCCCUAUCAUCAGAAAAUCCUCAAGGCUUUGGGAUUACCUUUAAAGCCAUUGAAGCCGAAAAGAGCUACCCUGUGAAAGAUGUAGUGACGAAAAAUUUUCCCCGUGAAGCCUAACAUAUUAACAUACCUAUAUUUUAUCUGUAUAGGUGGUAAAGAUGGGUUAAGAAUCUUCAUAGACCUGGCCGGACAGCAUGGAACGACAUUUUCCAUUUCGAGAGC
rnacentral:rRNA from 1 species